rnacentral:rRNA from 1 species
GACGAACGCUGGCGGCGUGCCUAAUACAUGCAAGUCGAGCGAAUCAUUAGGAGCUUGCUCCUGAUGGUUAGCGGCGGACGGGUGAGUAACACGUGGGCAACCUGCCUGUAAGACUGGGAUAACACCGGGAAACCGGUGCUAAUACCGGAUAAUUCUUUCCCUCACAUGAGGGAAAGCUGAAAGUCGGUUUCGGCUGACACUUACAGAUGGGCCCGCGGCGCAUUAGCUAGUUGGUGAGGUAACGGCUCACCAAGGCGACGAUGCGUAGCCGACCUGAGAGGGUGAUCGGCCACACUGGGACUGAGACACGGCCCAGACUCCUACGGGAGGCAGCAGUAGGGAAUCUUCCGCAAUGGACGAAAGUCUGACUGAGCAACGCCGCGUGAGUGAUGAAGGCCUUCGGGUCGUAAAACUCUGUUGUUAGGGAAGAACAAGUAUCGGAGUAACUGCCGGUACCUUGACGGUACCUAACCAGAAAGCCACGGCUAACUACGUGCCAGCCGCCGCGGUAAUAC